ACUACUACUACUACGCCAACCACAACAACGACGCCUACAACGGCUUCUACUACGCCUACCACGCCUACUACCACCACCGGAACACCAACAUCCAACACUCAAGUUUCAACUUUGAAUAAAAUUUCAACAACUUCCCUAGCAACGACAGUGUCCGCUUUGCCUCCCACGGUCACGCCAGCUUCUACCAGCACGACCGUAACUCCCACUGGAAAAGAAGGAGACCAGGACUCGACAAGCAUCCCGCUGGUAAUUGGUGUCGCAGUGGCCUCACCGCUGGUCACUCUCAUAUUGGUGGUGAUCAUCAUACUAGUAUUUUUGAGAAGACGAAGAACACCGCCAUCUAACCCACAAAGCUUACAUGUUUCUCACUCUAACCCAACGUUUUCCGACGUUCCGGCACCUUCCCCUCCUAAAUCACCUAAAGGACAACUUCGUCUAUCAACCAGCUCGGACUAUGACUUAAUUACAGGUGACUACCUAACAUUGACAGCAGAUAAUAUCUAUGAAGUACCAAGGACCCAAGAGAAUCAGUAUGCAAAUUAUGUAGGCAUCUUACCGCAGAAUAUUAACGUAUAAUCAGCAGCUUCAAAGAGGGCCCCCCCCCC